rnacentral:rRNA from 1 species
AUUGAACGCUGGCGGCAGGCUUAACACAUGCAAGUCGAGCGGGGGAAGGUAGCUUGCUACCGGACCUAGCGGCGGACGGGUGAGUAAUGCUUAGGAAUCUGCCUAUUAGUGGGGGACAACAUCUCGAAAGGGAUGCUAAUACCGCAUACGUCCUACGGGAGAAAGCAGGGGAUCUUCGGACCUUGCGCUAAUAGAUGAGCCUAAGUCGGAUUAGCUAGUUGGUGGGGUAAAGGCCUACCAAGGCGACGAUCUGUAGCGGGUCUGAGAGGAUGAGCCGCCACACUGGGACUGGGACACGGCCCAGACUCCUACGGGAGGCAGCAGUGGGGAAUAUUGGACAAUGGGGGGAACCCUGAUCCAGCCAUGCCGCGUGUGUGAAGAAGGCCUUAUGGUUGUAAAGCACUUUAAGCGAGGAGGAGGCUACUUUAGUUAAUACCUAGAGAUAGUGGACGUUACUCGCAGAAUAAGCACCGGCUAACUCUGUGCCAGCAGCCGCAGUAA